rnacentral:rRNA from 1 species
GUGGGGAAUAUUGGGCAAUGGGCGCAAGCCUGACCCAGCAACGCCGCGUGAAGGAAGAAGGCUUUCGGGUUGUAAACUUCUUUUACCAGGGACGAAAAAAAUGACGGUACCUGGAGAAUAAGCCACGGCUAACUACGUGCCAGCAGCCGCGGUAAUACGUAGGUGGCAAGCGUUGUCCGGAUUUACUGGGUGUAAAGGGCGCGUAGGCGGGAGAGCAAGUCAGGAGUGAAAUCUAUGGGCUUAACCCAUAAAUUGCUUUUGAAACUGUUUGUCUUGAGUGAUGGAGAGGCGAGCGGAAUGCCUAGUGUAGCGGUGAAAUGCGUAGAUAUACGGAGGAACACCAGUGGCGAAGGCGGAUUACUGGACGAUAACUGACGCUGAGGCGCGAAAGCGUGGGGAGCAAACAGGAUUAGAAACCCCUGUAGUCC